UACGAAGGGUGCAAGCGUUAAUCGGAAUUACUGGGCGUAAAAGGUGCGUAGGCGGUUCGUUAAGUCUGUCGUGAAAUCCCCGGGCUCAACCUGGGAAUGGCGAUGGAUACUGGCAGGCUAGAGUGUGUCAGAGGAUGGUGGAAUUCCCGGUGUAGCGGUGAAAUGCGUAGAUAUCUGGAGGAACACCGGUGGCGAAGGCGACAUCCUGGACCGGUAUUGACGCUGAGGCGCGAAAGCCAGGGGAGCAAACAGG
rnacentral:rRNA from 1 species